AUUGAACGCUGGCGGCAUGCUUUACACAUGCAAGUCGAACGGUAACAGGUUAAGCUGACGAGUGGCGAACGGGUGAGUAAUGCAUCGGAACGUGCCCGAUCGUGGGGGAUAACGCAGCGAAAGCUGCGCUAAUACCGCAUACGAUCUGAGGAUGAAAGCGGGGGACCGUAAGGCCUCGCGCGAUCGGAGCGGCCGAUGUCAGAUUAGGUAGUUGGUGGGGUAAAGGCUCACCAAGCCGACGAUCUGUAGCUGGUCUGAGAGGACGACCAGCCACACUGGGACUGAGACACGGCCCAGACUCCUACGGGAGGCAGCAGUGGGGAAUUUUGGACAAUGGGGGCAACCCUGAUCCAGCAAUGCCGCGUGAGUGAUGAAGGCCUUAGGGUCGUAAAGCUCUUUUACCAGGGAUGAUAAUGACAGUACCUGGAGAAUAAGCUCCGGCUAACUCCGUGCCAGCAGCCGCGGU
rnacentral:rRNA from 1 species